UACGAAGGGGGCUAGCGUUGCUCGGAAUCACUGGGCGUAAAGCGCACGUAGGCGGCUUUUUGAGUCAGGGGUGAAAUCCCGGGGCUCAACCCCGGAACUGCCCUUGAAACUGGAGAGCUAGAAUCUUGGAGAGGCGAGUGGAAUUCCGAGUGUAGAGGUGAAAUUCGUAGAUAUUCGGAAGAACACCAGUGGCGAAGGCGACUCGCUGGACAAGUAUUGACGCUGAGGUGCGAAAGCGUGGGGAGCAAACAGG
rnacentral:rRNA from 1 species